AGGACGAACGCUGGCGGCGCGCCUAACACAUGCAAGUCGAACGGAGCUUAGAGAGUUUGCUUUUUAAGCUUAGUGGCGAACGGGUGAGUAACGCGUGAGUAACCUGCCCUAGAGUGGGGGACAACAGUUGGAAACGACUGCUAAUACCGCAUAAGCCCACGGUACCGCAUGGUACUGAGGGAAAAGGAUUUAUUCGCUUUAGGAUGGACUCGCGUCCAAUUAGCUAGUUGGUGAGGUAAUGGCCCACCAAGGCGACGAUUGGUAGCCGGACUGAGAGGUUGAACGGCCACAUUGGGACUGAGACACGGCCCAGACUCCUACGGGAGGCAGCAGUGGGGGAUAUUGCACAAUGGGGGAAACCCUGAUGCAGCGACGCCGCGUGGAGGAAGAAGGUUUUCGGAUUGUAAACUCCUGUCGUUAGGGACGAUAAUGACGGUACCUAACAAGAAAGCACCGGCUAACUACGUG
rnacentral:rRNA from 1 species